rnacentral:rRNA from 1 species
CGUGUUUAUUUUACCUUGUUGCUUCGGCGGGCCCGCCUUUACUGGCCGCCGGGGGGCUCACGCCCCCGGGCCCGCGCCCGCCGAAGACACCCCCGAACUCUGUCUGAAGAUUGAAGUCUGAGUGAAAAUAUAAAUUAUUUAAAACUUUCAACAACGGAUCUCUUGGUUCCGGCAUCGAUGAAGAACGCAGCGAAAUGCGAUACGUAAUGUGAAUUGCAAAUUCAGUGAAUCAUCGAGUCUUUGAACGCACAUUGCGCCCCCUGGUAUUCCGGGGGGCAUGCCUGUCCGAGCGUCAUUGCUGCCCUCAAGCCCGGCUUGUGUGUUGGGCCCCGUCCUCCGAUUCCGGGGGACGGGCCCGAAAGGCAGCGGCGGCACCGCGUCCGGUCCUCGAGCGUAUGGGGCUUUGUCACCCGCUCUGUAGGCCCGGCCGGCGCUUGCCGAUCAACCCAAAUUUUUAUCCAGGUUGACCUCGGAUCAGGUAGGGAUACCCGCUGAACUUAAGCAUAUC